rnacentral:misc_RNA from 1 species
ACAUCCAGCAGCCGCGGUAAUACGUUCCCGGGCCUUGUACACACCGCCCGUCACACCACGAAAGCGGGCAACACCCGAAGCCGGUGUCCUAACCCUUUUGGGAGGGAGCCGUCGAAGGUGGGGCUCGUGAUUGGGGUGAAGUCGUAACAAGGUAGCCGUAGCGGAAGCUGCGGCUGGAUCACCUCCUUUCUAGGGAGACCUAGAUACGUCGACCGGGCUUGGACGGACGCCUCGAGCGUCCGGGCGCUGCUCAGUUUUCAGAGACGCCGGCGGGAGACCCCCGUGCGGUCGCCUCCGUGGACCUUGAAAACUGCACUAGGCCGAGCGUCCCCACUCCGGGGACGCUUAUGAGUGCUCCAUUGCAUUAAACGGGUCGCGCCUGGCGGCGCACCCUGGCAUGAAGCACUCAAAGGGUAAGAAGCCGAGCUCUCACGCCUCGAGCGUGAGGGCAGCUCACCGUCAAGAAAGGAAGGGCACACGGUGGAUACCUAGGCACACAGAGAAUAGAG